rnacentral:rRNA from 1 species
GAUGAACGCUGGCGGCGUGCCUAAUACAUGCAAGUCGAGCGAAUGGAUUAAGAGCUUGCUCUUAUGAAGUUAGCGGCGGACGGGUGAGUAACACGUGGGUAACCUGCCCAUAAGACUGGGAUAACUCCGGGAAACCGGGGCUAAUACCGGAUGACGCAAGUCGACCCAAGUCGAUUUGCCAAAGGUAGCUUCGGCUUCCGCAUUGGGAGGGGCCCGCGGCCCAUUAGCCUGUUGGUGGGGUAACGGCCUACCAAAGCAACGAUGGGUAGCUGGUCUGAGAGGACGAUCAGCCACACUGGGACUGAGACACGGCCCAGACUCCUACGGGAGGCAGCAGUGGGGAAUCUUGCGCAAUGCGCGAAAGCGUGACGCAGCAACACCGCGUGAGGGAAGACGGCCUUAGGGUUGUAAACCUCUUUCAGUUGGGACGAAGGUUCACCGGUGAACAGCCGAGUGGAUUGACGGUACCUUCAGAAGAAGCUCCGGCUAACUACGUGCCAGCCGCCGCGGUAA